GCUGUGGUUGGGUCUCAGUGGUAGAGCACUUGCCUAUCAUGUGUGAGGCACUGGGUUUGAUUCUCAGCACAGCA
rnacentral:tRNA from 1 species